UGCCUCUCCUGCAGCCUUGCCUCAGCGCUGUGCCAGCUCCUACAACGCUGCUUCUCACUUCUUCGUCCGUGUAAGCUCACCACUAUUCUCGUCUGUUUUCCCCUACGAAUCUCCUCUGUUUCCUCUACAAAUCUGGCUUUUUACUACUGUAUUAUCUUCCUUGUUGCAACCGGCUAAUCUAUAUUGUGAUUUUCCACUCCAACAGGUGUUCAUCCGUUGCUAUAUUCACCCAUUGUUUCUAGCUCCGAUCCAGAAGCACUUUCAUUGCUCUUCUAUUAUUUAUUCAGGUUAGUGUCCCCGCUCAAAAUAGUAUUCUUACUUUUUGUUGUUGCCUGCCAGUGGGUUUCUUUUUUCUUAUCUCUGUUGCACUUUACUAAUUUAACAAGUGAUUUCCUACUUCAACAGGUUUUUAUCCAUCAGUGCUUCCAGAAGUAAUUCGAAUCCUAGUAUUUUGAUAUAUUCAGGCCAU
rnacentral:lncRNA from 1 species